AUAUUAAUUAAUGGAUUUUUUAAGUUUGUUGUUAUUAGAAAGAAGAUUAGAAUAAAACUGUAUCAACACAUUUUUCUAAAAAGUUUUUGAACUCUCACAUCGAAGAAAACAGGGGGUGUAUGUAGACUUUUGUCCGCCACUGUAUAUAUAUGUAUGUAACGUGCACGAACGGUCAUAAUCAUAGAACCGAUAAUAAUUAAACCCGUUUAAUAAAAACGGUUAGUAAAGGCUCUAAACCGGCGGAAAAUUCAAGUACCGAUAGAAGCCAAUUCGGUAAAUAAUAUACAUAUGUACAUGUAUCCACAGUAUACAUAUACAUAUACACAUAUGUAUAUAAUUAACUAAAUAAAUUCGUAUUCCUUACCUUUUUAAACUUAACUUCGUGUAUAGAAAUACACACAAUUAUUCUAGCAAUACCGCUUCAGCUUGUUAACUGUGAGAGGGAUAAUUGGAAAUUAUUACAGCAAUCGUGGACGAAGACCUGUGUCUGAUAGAGCCAGUACUAUAAGCUCUGGAACCGGCAUGGAAGUGGCUCAGGUGAACCUGCAUCACGCAUCGGCGGCCUCGGCAGCCAUCGUGAAGAGGUUCAUCUCGGAUAACCUGAGCAUCCUUCUAAUCCAGGAACCCUGGGUUUUCAGAGGAGAGGUAAGAGGCCUCAACACGAGAAAUAGCAAGAGUUUCUAACGCAAGAUCUGGUGGCGGUGCAGGUGAAGGACAGGGAAGGGUCGGACUUCGUCCUCGCAUCCGCGUACGUCCCGGGAGAGACAGCCACAGCACCCCCCCCAUCGAUACUCAGUCUGGUGGAGUAUUGCAGGGCCAACAAUCUUCCCUUGACCAUAGGAUGCGAUGCCAAUGCGCAUCACACGGAAUGGGGUAGCACGGACUGCAACGUGAGGGAUCCAUAUGGAUGCCGAGAUGCCAAUUGUGCCUACGCCCACUGCGCGUUCCGCCGUCACGGUUCCGCGCCCUAGAGCUACCUCAGUAGCAGCGCCGCGCACAACCAUCGCUGCCGCACCUCCCCGAGAAUCUCCAUCGGCUCCGCGCAAGCAAUAGCUCCAGAGCAGCCACAGCGUCAAUGCGUGC